AGUGAACGCUGGCGGUAGGCCUAACACAUGCAAGUCGAACGGCAGCACAGUAAGAGCUUGCUCUUACGGGUGGCGAGUGGCGGACGGGUGAGGAAUACAUCGGAAUCUACUUUUUCGUGGGGGAUAACGUAGGGAAACUUACGCUAAUACCGCAUACGACCUACGGGUGAAAGCAGGGGAUCUUCGGACCUUGCGCGAUUGAAUGAGCCGAUGUCGGAUUAGCUAGUUGGCGGGGUAAAGGCCCACCAAGGCGACGAUCCGUAGCUGGUCUGAGAGGAUGAUCAGCCAUACUGGAACUGAGACACGGUCCAGACUCCUACGGGAGGCAGCAGUGGGGAAUAUUGGACAAUGGGCGCAAGCCUGAUCCAGCCAUACCGCGUGGGUGAAGAAGGCCUUCGGGUUGUAAAGCCCUUUUGUUGGGAAAGAAAGCAGCAGGUUAAUACCCCGCUGUUCUGACGGUACCCAAAGAAUAAGCACCGGCUAACUUCGUG
rnacentral:rRNA from 1 species